CAAAAUAAGGACCGGCUAAUUCCGUGCCAGCGGCCGCGGUAAUACGGAAGGUCCAAGCGUUAAUCGGAAUUACUGGGCGUAAAGCGCGCGUAGGUGGUUUAUUAAGUUGGGUGUGAAAUCCCCGGGCUCAACCUGGGAACUGCAUCCAAAACUGAUUCACUAGAGUACGAUAGAGGGAGGUAGAAUUCACAGUGUAGCGGUGGAAUGCGUAGAUAUUGUGAAGAAUACCAAUGGCGAAGGCAGCCUGCUGGAUCUGUACUGA
rnacentral:rRNA from 1 species